rnacentral:rRNA from 1 species
GAUGAACGCUAGCGGCAGGCCUAAUACAUGCAAGUCGAACGGGAUCCAGAUCAAAGCUUGCUUUGGUCUGGUGAGAGUGGCGCACGGGUGCGUAACGCGUGAGCAACCUACCCUUGUCAGGGGGAUAGCCCGGCGAAAGUCGGAUUAAUACCGCAUGACAUCAUUGAGAGGCAUCUUUCGAUGAUCAAAGAUUUAUCGGACAAGGAUGGGCUCGCGUGACAUUAGCUAGUUGGUAAGGUAACGGCUUACCAAGGCUGCGAUGUCUAGGGGCUCUGAGAGGAGAAUCCCCCAGACUGGUACUGAGACACGGACCAGACUCCUACGGGAGGCAGCAGUAAGGAAGAUUGGUCAAUGGACGGAAGUCUGAACCAGCCAUGCCGCGUGCAGGAGGACGGCCCUAUGGGUUGUAAACUGCUUUUAUACGGGAACAAACGUCGGUACGUGUACCGGUCUGAGUGUACCGUAAGAAUAAGGAUCGGCUAACUCCGUG